GGCGAGGUCGCAUAGCGGCCUAGUGCGCCGCCCUGCUAAGGCGGUUGGGGCGUGAGUCCCUCGCGGGUUCAAAUCCCGCCCUCGCCGCCA
rnacentral:tRNA from 1 species